rnacentral:lncRNA from 1 species
UUUGAAUAUCAACAUGGCUUUCUAAGCCAAAGAGAGCUAAGAAGGCCUUCAGAAACAAAAAACAAAGAGGUAACUCCUCUACCGAUUCCACAAAGAACCCGUUGAUGUUUCUUCCAAAAUUACCUCCAAAAGAUGAUGAUGAAACCUCUAACAGAUCGUUAGAUGAGGAUGAAGUUGAUGAGAUGCCUCACUGUGUAUCACCUGAUAUCAGCGACUUUGAUAUCAGUGAUUUUGACUCCUCUUCUGAUUCAAGUACUCACAUACUGGAAGAUGUUACUGAGAAUAAUAAAUCAUGUGCAAAAAGGAGGAGAGUUUCUUUUGGAGCCCCUCUGAGACCCGAAUUAUUUGAUGAAAAUUUACCUCCCAAUACACCUCUUGCAAAAGGAGAAAGCCCAGAGACGACCAAAACAGCAUCCACAACCUGUGUCCCAAGAAAGUCAAUAAUGAAGGUACAAUAUUUUAGACAAGCAUUUAAUCUGUCUGUAGUUUAA